rnacentral:rRNA from 1 species
CAGGCCUAACACAUGCAAGUCGAGGGGUAACAGGUAGAAAGCUUGCUUUCUAUGCUGACGGCCGGCGCACGGGUGAGUAACGCGUAUGCAACCUACCUUUAACUGGAAGAUAGCCCCGAGAAAUCGGGAUUAAUACUCCAUAACAUUAUGAUAUCGCAUGAUAUUGUAUUUAAAGCUCCGGCGGUUAAAGAUGGGCAUGCGUGACAUUAGUUUGUUGGUAAGGUAACGGCUUACCAAGACAUCGAUGUCUAGGGGUUCUGAGAGGAUUGUCCCCCACACUGGUACUGAGACACGGACCAGACUCCUACGGGAGGCAGCAGUGAGGAAUAUUGGUCAAUGGUCGAAAGACUGAACCAGCCAUGCCGCGUGCAGGAUGAAUGCGCUAUGCGUUGUAAACUGCUUUUCUACAGGAAGAAACCUACUUACGUGUAAGUAGCUGCCGGUACUGUAGGAAUAAGCACCGGCUAACUCCGUGCCAGCAGCCGCGGUAAUACGGAGGGUGCAAGCGUUAUCCGGAUUUAUUGGGUUUAAAGGGUGCGUAGGCGGAAUAUUAAGUCAGUGGUGAAAUCCUGCGGCUCAACCGUAGAACUGCCAUUGAUACUGUUAUUCUUGAAUGUAGUUGAGGUAGGCGGAAUGUGUAAUGUAGCGGUGAAAUGCUUAGAUAUUACACAGAACACCGAUUGCGAAGGCAGCUUACUAAACUAUGAUUGACGCUGAUGCACGAAAGCGUGGGGAGCGAACAGGAUUAGAUACCCUGGUAGUCCACGCUGUAAACGAUGAUCACUCGUUGUUUGCGAUAUAUUGUAAGCGACUGAGCGAAAGCAUUAAGUGAUCCACCUGGGGAGUACGUCGGCAACGAUGAAACUCAAAGGAAUUGACGGGGGCCCGCACAAGCGGAGGACAUGUGGUUUAAUUCGAUGAUACGCGAGGAACCUUACCUGGGUUUAAAUGUAGAUUGCAUGUACGGGAAACUGUACUUU